rnacentral:rRNA from 1 species
AGCGAACGCUGGCGGCGUGCUUAACACAUGCAAGUCGAGUGCGUAGUUCCCUGUAGCAAUACAGGGAAUGGGCGCACGGCGCACGGGUGCGUAACACGUGGGCAACCUGCCCUCGAGUGGGGAAUAACCCCGCGAAAGCGGGGCUAAUACCGCAUAACAUUCCGGGAACCUCGGUUUCCGGACUCAAAGUCUUCGGACGCUUGAGGAGGGGCCCGCGCCCGAUUAGCUUGUUGGUAGGGUAACGGCCUACCAAGGCGAUGAUCGGUAGCCGGUCUGAGAGGAUGGCCGGCCACACUGGAACUGAGACACGGUCCAGACUCCUACGGGAGGCAGCAGUGGGGAAUCUUGCGCAAUGGGCGAAAGCCUGACGCAGCGACGCCGCGUGGGGAUGAAGCUUCUCGGAGUGUAAACCCCUUUCGACCCGGACGAAUAGCCCGCAAGGGACUUGACGGUACGGGUAGAAGAAGCCCCGGCUAACUACGUGCCAGCCGCCGCAGUAAG